rnacentral:rRNA from 1 species
CCUACGGGUGGCAGCAGUGAGGAAUAUUGGUCAAUGGGCGAGAGCCUGACCCAGCAAAGUCGCGUGAAGGAUGAAGGUUCUAUGGUUUGUAAACUUCUUUUAUAUGGGAAUAAAGUGAGUAACGUGUUCCUUUUUGUAUGUACCCUAUGUAUAAGCAUCGGCUAACCCCGUGCCAGCAGCCGCGGUAAUACGGAGUAUGCGGGCGUUUUCCGGAUUUAAUGGGUUUAAAGGGUGCGUAGGUGGUUAAUUAAGUCAGCGGUGAAAGUUUGUGGCUCAAACAUAAAAUUGCCGUUGAAACUGGUAGACUGGAGUAUAUUUGAGGUAGGCGGAAUGCGUGGUGUAGCGGUGAAAUGCAUAGAUA